AUUGAACGCUGGCGGCAUGCUUUACACAUGCAAGUCGAACGGUAACAGGGAGCUUGCUCCGCUGACGAGUGGCGAACGGGUGAGUAAUGCAUCGGAACGUACCCAGUCGUGGGGGAUAACGUAGCGAAGUUACGCUAAUACCGCAUACGUCCUGAGGGAGAAAGCGGGGACCGAAAGGCCUCGCGCGAUUGGAGCGGCCGAUGUCGGAUUAGCUAGUUGGUAGGGUAAAGGCCUACCAAGGCGACGAUCCGUAGCGGGUCUGAGAGGAUGAUCCGCCACACUGGGACUGAGACACGGCCCAGACUCCUACGGGAGGCAGCAGUGGGGAAUUUUGGACAAUGGGCGCAAGCCUGAUCCAGCCAUGCCGCGUGAGUGAAGAAGGCC
rnacentral:rRNA from 1 species